AGUCUGUGAAUCCAUACAUUGUGAAGCUGUCUAUUGUGGAUGACGAGGCUACCCUGAAUGGAAUGGGGCUUGUGAUCACUCAGGCUUUAUCUGAGUACAACAGGCAGUAUAAAGACAAGGAAGAAGAACAUCAGAGUGGCUUUUU